rnacentral:rRNA from 1 species
UAGGGAAUAUUGGACAAUGGGGGCAACCCUGAUCCAGCCAUGCCGCGUGAGUGAAGAAGGCCCUCGGGUUGUAAAGCUCUUUUGUCCGGAAAGAAAAGCAUUCGGUGAAUACCCGGAUGUUCUGACGGUACCGGAAGAAUAAGCACCGGCUAACUUCGUGCCAGCAGCCGCGGUAAUACGAAGGGUGCAAGCGACACUCGGAAUUACUGGGCGUAAAGCGUGCGUAGGUGGUUGUUUAAGUCUGAUGUGAAAGCCCUGGGCUCAACGUGGGAGUGGGAGUGGGAACUGGGGAGCUAGAGUGCGGUAGGGGGUAGUGGAAUUCCCGGUGUAGCAGUGAAAUGCGUAGAGAUCGGGAGGAACAGCUGUGGCGAAGGCGACUGCCUGGACCAGCACUGACACCGAGGCACGAAAGCGUGGG